GGGGGGGGAAUGCAGGCCGUACGAUGUUAUCGGCAGUAUUGGUAAGUGAGCAAUGCGACGAAGGUGGAUGGUAAAUGCAAAAUAAAAUAAAAUCACCGUCUUGAUGAGACAACGUGCACGAUUCGUAAUUGUGACUGCAAACCAAUUAAAUCAAUAUAUAAAAACUACAAGUCCUGGGCUUUGCACCGCUUUGAUGGGCAAGGCCAGGGACCCAGCAUCCGGUUCAAUGUCAAGGGGCCUCGGCCGAGCUUUUCCGUGUUCAUUUUAUAUCGGUGUUGCUAAUUUCUAUAAGCAGGGCACUCCAGCAAGAUGUGCUGCAUAGAUUACACCUCGCCACAGUUGUCACAGGAUGGAUGUGUAGUGUGGCCAUUGCGAAAAAGAAGACGGUUCAUGUACGCAACGUUCAGUCGAAGCCGGUAAUAGAGGGUCUCCAUCACAUCAUAAAUUAAUACACUGGUCCAAGCUUACUCAAUGACUACGCUACCACUGUGGUUACAUCGCGUCAUGCCAAUCACACCAGGCUACCAACCAUCUUAUGAACACAGAUACACCAAAUACUCUAACGAAAUGCCGAGGUAACGACGACGACCGUUUCUGCAGGCACUGGGACAGGACGCAGUGUUUCUCUUAUAUUUUGUCGAAAUUCUACUUUAAUUUUAUGUGAAUGCCAGAAGUAGGACUUGAAAGGAGAAAAAAUUUGCGCGUGUUGUCGACGAAAUUUUUUUAUGAAUACGGUGAUUCAGUGGAGCCUAAAUAAUUUCACUUCUAAGAUGCAGGGCACGUGCCUCUAACCGCGCGGCGCGUCCAGCAGCCAAAUUCAAGAAGGAAGAAGAUCUUAUCGGACCGUACGGACGUUACAUCAUGGGAGAUGAUGAAACGCCUGAUUGGGUAGCCCCACGCGGCAUGCCUGACUGGCGGAGGGCAGCCGAGCAGAGCAUUCGAUACCAACGCUCAUUUCG